UCCCGCUUAGCUCAGCUGGUAGAGCGCAUCACUAGUAGAGAUAAUAAUGAUGAGGUCAGUUGUUCAAGUCAGCUAGUGGGAA